GUCUAUGGCCAUGACACCCUGAACGUCCCCGAUCUCAUCUGAUCUCAGAAGCUAAGUAGGCCUGGUUAGUACUUGGAUGGGAGACCGCCUAGUAAUACCAGGUGCUGUAGGUG
rnacentral:rRNA from 1 species